AAAUGCUAGUCUAAGCGUUUAGGCAGUUACGGUAGGCAAAUCCGCUGUAAUGUUAAUGCUGAGGCGUGAUGGGGAAGGCCAUUUAGGCUGAAGUACUUGAUUCCAUGCUUCCAAGAAAAGCAUCUAGAGAGAGAAGUAGUGCCCGUACCGCAAACCGACACAGGUAGAUGAGGAGAGAAUCCUAAGGCCGGCGGAAGAAUUGCAGUUAAGGAACUAGGCAAAUUGACCCCGUAAGUUAGCGAGAAGGGGUGCCUACGAGAGUAGGCCGCAGAGAAUAGGCCCAAGCAACUGUUCAGCAAAAACACAGGUCUCUGCUAAAGCGCAAGCUGAUGUAUAGGGGCUGACGCCUGCCCGGUGCUGGAAGGUUAAGGGGAACACUUAGCGCAAGCGAAGGUGUGAACUUAAGCCCCAGUAAACGGCGGCCGUAACUAUAACGGUCCUAAGGUAGCGAAAUUCCUUGUCAGGUAAGUUCUGACCCGCACGAAUGGCGUAAUGACUUGGGCACUGUCUCAACUGCAAAUCCGGCGAAGUUGUAGUGCGAGUGAGGAUGCUCGCUACCCGCGAUUGGACGGAAAGACCCCGUAGAGCUUUACUGUAGCUUAGCAUUGAAUUCCGGUAUUGUCUGUACAGGAUAGGUGGGAGACUAGGAAACUAGGGCGUCAGCCUUAGUGGAGUCAUCCUUGGGAUACCACCCUGACAGUACUGGGGUUCUAACAGGAUGCCAUGAAUCUGGUGACUGGACAUUGUUAGGUGGGCAGUUUGACUGGGGCGGUCGCCUCCUAAAAAGUAACGGAGGCGCCCAAAGGUUCCCUCAGAACGGUCGGAAAUCGUUCGUAGAGUGCAAAGGCAGAAGGGAGCCUGACUGCGAGACCUACAAGUCGAGCGGGGACGAAAGUCGGGCUUAGUGAUCCGGUGGUACCUCGUGGGAGGGCCAUCGCUCAACGGAUAAAAGCUACCUCGGGGAUAACAGGCUGAUCUCCCCCAAGAGUCCACAUCGACGGGGAGGUUUGGCACCUCGAUGUCGGCUCGUCGCAUCCUGGGGCUGUAGUAGGUCCCAAGGGUUGGGCUGUUCGCCCAUUAAAGCGGCACGCGAGCUGGGUUCAGAACGUCGUGAGACAGUUCGGUCCCUAUCCGUCGCGGGCGUAGGAAAUUUGAGAGGAGCUGUCCUUAGUACGAGAGGACCGGGAUGGACUGACCUCUGGUGCACCAGUUGUUCUGCCAAGAGCAUGGCUGGGUAGCUAAGUCGGGAAGGGAUAAACGCUGAAAGCAUCUAAGCGUGAAGCCUCCCUCAAGAUGAGAUUCCCCAUAGUCGAAAGACUAGUAAGACCCCUUGAAGAACACGAGGUUGAUAGGUCAGAGGUGUAAGUGUGGUAACAUAUUUAGCUGACUGAUACUAAUAGGUCGAGGGCUUGACCG
rnacentral:rRNA from 1 species